UACAGAGGUGGCAAGCGUUGUUCGGAAUUACUGGGCGUAAAGGGCGCGUAGGCGGCCAUCUAAGUCAGACGUGAAAUCCCCCGGCUUAACCUGGGAACUGCGUCUGAUACUGGGACGGCUUGAGUAUGGGAGAGGGAUGUGGAAUUCCAGGUGUAGCGGUGAAAUGCGUAGAUAUCGGGAGGAACACCAGUGGCGAAGGCGACUACCUGGCCUGUUCUUGACGCUGAGGCGCGAAAGCUAGGGGAGCAAACGGG
rnacentral:rRNA from 1 species